rnacentral:rRNA from 1 species
UACGAAGGGGGCUAGCGUUGCUCGGAAUCACUGGGCGUAAAGGGUGCGUAGGCGGGUUCUUAAGUCAGAGGUGAAAUCCUGGAGCUCAACUCCAGGACUGCCUUUGAUACUGAGAGUCUUGAGUUCGGGAGAGGUGAGUGGAACUCCGAGUGUAGAGGUGAAAUUCGUAGAUAUUCGGAAGAACACCAGUGGCGAAGGCGGCUCACUGGCCCGGUACUGACGCUGAACUGCGAAAGCUAGGGGAGCGAACGGG